GACGAACGCUGGCGGCGUGCUUAACACAUGCAAGUCGAACGGACAGGCCCUGCUCUUGUGGGGUGCUCGAGUGGCGAACGGGUGAGUAACACGUGAGUAUCCCGCCCUUGACUUUGGGAUAUCUUUAGGAAACUCGGGCUCUUACCGGAUAGGAGCUUCUGCUGCACGGUGGGGGUAGGAAAGAUACGGCGGUUGGGGAUUGACUCGAGGGUUAUCCGCUUGUUGGGGGGGUAGUGACUGACAAAGGCUUUGACGGGUAGCCGGCCUGAGCGGGUGACCGGCCACAAUGGGACUGAGAUACGGCCCAGACUCCAACGGGAGGCAGCAGUGGGGAGUAUUGCACAAUGGGCGGGAGCCUGAUGCAGCAACGCCGCGUGCGGGAUGACGGCCUUCGAGUGAUAAACCGCUUUCGCCUGUGACGAGGCGUGAGUGACGGUAAUGGGUAAAGAAGCACCGGCUAACUACGUG
rnacentral:rRNA from 1 species